AUUGAACGCUGGCGGCAUGCCUUACACAUGCAAGUCGAACGGCAGCGGGGGAGAAGCUUGCUUUUCCUGCCGGCGAGUGGCGAACGGGUGAGUAAUACAUCGGAACGUGCCCUGUAGUGGGGGAUAACUAGUCGAAAGAUUAGCUAAUACCGCAUACGACCUGAGGGUGAAAGUGGGGGACCGCAAGGCCUCAUGCUAUAGGAGCGGCCGAUGUCGGAGUAGCUAGUUGGUGGGGUAAAGGCCUACCAAGGUGACGAUCAGUAGCUGGUCUGAGAGAACGAUCAGCCACACUGGGACUGAGACACGGCCCAGACUCCUACGGGAGGCAGCAGUGGGGAAUUUUGGACAAUGGGCGAAAGCCUGAUCCAGCAAUGCCGCGUGUGUGAAGAAGGCCUUCGGGUUGUAAAGCACUUUUGUCCGGAAAGAAAUGGCUCUGGUUAAUACCUGGGGUCGAUGACGGUACCGGAAGAAUAAGGACCGGCUAACUACGUGCCAGCCGCCGCUGUAA
rnacentral:rRNA from 1 species